rnacentral:misc_RNA from 1 species
UAGGUGACCUGCGGAAGGAUCAUUGUCAAAACCUGCAAGGCAGUAUGACCCGUGAACCCGUACACCAACCUGGGGAGGCAGGGGAGGUGGGCGUUGGUCCCCUUCCUCUGUUUCCCUCUCUGUUCGGGCAUUGCUCUGAGCCCUCUCAUAGGGGUGAUGAUGCGGUCCCCGGCCUAACAACGAACCCCGGCGCGAACUGCGCCAAGGAAGUUGAACAAGAGAGUGCGACCCCGGGGCCCCGAUCUGCGGGUGCCAAGGGGUAGCGUGCCUUCUAUGAAAUAAGAAAUUAAACGACUCUCGGCAACGGAUAUCUCGGCUCUCGCAUCGAUGAAGAACGUAGCGAAAUGCGAUACUUGGUGUGAAUUGCAGAAUCCCGUGAACCAUCGAGUUUUUGAACGCAAGUUGCGCCCGAAACCAUUAGGUUGAGGGCACGCCUGCCUGGGCGUCUCACAUCACCCUGUGCCCUCCCAGAACUCCUUUUGGCGUCUGGUGUUUGGGGCGUGGUAUAUUGGCCCCCCGUGCUCUAUGGAGUGCGGUCGGCCUAAAAUGACGCACAUGACAUCUGUCGACACAGAACAGUGGUUGGCGAUUA